rnacentral:ncRNA from 2 species
GACCUCGGUCGCUCUGGAGGUCAGGAUACGACGGCCUGCGGCGCAGGAACCCGGUGCGAAUCCGGGACGGUCCCGCCACUGUGACCGGGGAGCGGACCCGACGUGCGGCCACGGCCCGUGAGGGCUGGAAGGCUCGGGUGACCCGCUGCGAUCCGGGAGUCAGGAGACUCGCUGCCGGCCCCGCGUCGCG